CGGCGAUACCUAAAGCCCACCGGCAUAUCUAUCCGAUCUCGGCAGUCGAUCGCACGCGCGAAAAGCUUUGCGGAUGUCACUCGCGCCUGCAACGGUGCAAUGAUCCUGAAUGUAACAGAUCGGGUGUGACCUCCUUUGGGGUCUUACCCCGUCAUCGUUUCCUCGGGACCAGUGUUGGCUCUCGCGUGUUCGUGAGUGUAGUUCCCGGUGGUCCGCGCCAAAGCAUUGUCGUGUGUCGCGAUGCGCUAUCAAACGAUUUGCACGUGCUUCGAUAAUCGUUUGCGAGGAGAAGUGUCAGUUUAAUUCCGGAGAACGUAAACGAAAGAAAGCAAAGCAGAAGAUAAGAAGAACGGAGAAUCAAGGAUUUUUAUACUAUUCCUACGACGCGAUAAAAAUUGGACGUUACUAUCGGACGUUGAUAUCUGAAUAAAUCGAGAUGAUUCACAUGGAAAGAUGCAACACAGCCAUGAAGGCCGCGGGAUGAAGAUUCGCAAGAUCUAUCCCGAUAUCCGUCGCGUUACGGAGGAAGACAUCUCACGAAAUCUCGAAGCUACGUGCUUUUGAAGCUCGAAGGAUGUCUUUAGGACAACGCAUUUCCGGCGCUGUUGCGGUUCUCCGCGGAACCUCGACGGAUGCCAAGGAGGGUGGCCACACGUCAUGCACAGAGGAGGAUAUCGAGAAGAUGACAUCCGAGGAAGAGGUCGAGGUGAAAGCGCAGCGUAAAGUAACGGCGCUCGACAGAUUACAGAUGGUGAUAGAAUGGAUGGGAAAUAAUUUGCUUCUGGCACUGACCAUCGCUGGAGUUUUGGUGGGACUAGGUCUCGGGUUUCUGGGGCGAUUGGCCAAUCUCACCCCGCAAUCUAUAACUCUCGUCAGUUUUCCGGGAGAGAUCCUUAUGCGGAUGUUGAAGAUGUUUAUCUUGCCACUCAUCAUCUCGUCGCUAAUCUCGGGAAUGGCACAACUAGACGUUCAAAGAUCAGGAAGAAUAGGGGUCAGAGCGUUAACAUACUACUCGAUAACAACCAUUCUCGCCGCCAUAGUGGGUAUCGCGAUGGUAUUGAUGAUCCAUCCCGGUGACCCACGAAUCAAAACUACGGUUGCGGCGGUUGUGAAAGCCGAGGAGGCGAAAGUUUCCACUGUAGACGCGAUCCUCGAUAUAAUUCGAAACAUGGUGCCGGAGAACCUGGUACAAGCAUGCUUCCAGCAAGUUCAGACUUCCUACGUGAAGAAGAAAGUGGUCGUAAUCGGCAAUUUGAAUCAGAGCGAAUAUAUACUAGAGCCGACCUUGGUUUACAAGGACGGCACGAACGUAAUGGGCAUGAUUGUGUUCUGCAUUAUCUUUGGCGUGCUCGCGGGCCAGAUAGGACCUCGCGGCAAGCUGAUGGUGGACUUUUUCGUGGUGCUAAACGAGAUUAUCAUGAAACUCGUCACGAUCAUCGUGGUCUGGUAUUCUCCGUUCGGAAUUAUGUGUCUGAUAGCUGGAAAAAUUAUGUCUAUUGCAAAUCUGGCGGCAACUGCUCAAAUGUUAGGUCUAUACAUGGUAACAGUUAUAUUGGGCUUGAUGAUUCACGCGAUUAUCACAUUGCCGAUGAUCUAUUGGUUUAUGACUCGAAAGAAUCCAGCUGUAUUCUUUAGAGGCAUGAUGCAAGCCUGGGUGACUGCGCUGGGUACAGCUUCGAGUGCAGCAACUUUGCCUAUAACUUUUCGUUGUCUCGAAGAAAACAAUAAGAUUGAUACACGAGUGACACGUUUCGUCGUGGCAGUCGGUGCUACCGUAAAUAUGGAUGGCACGGCUCUUUACGAAGCCGUGGCUGCGAUAUUUAUCGCACAAUUGAAUGGAAUCUCAUUAGGAUUCGUUGAAGUUAUUACGGUCAGCCUUACAGCUACCUUGGCAAGCGUCGGGGCUGCAAGCAUCCCCAGCGCUGCAUUAGUCACCAUGCUGUUGGUGCUAACCGCCUUGGGCCUUCCUACGAAUGAUGUUUCUCUAUUGUUCGCUAUCGAUUGGAUGCUUGAUCGGAUCAGGACUUCGAUCAACGUUCUGGGCGAUGGUUACGGGGCCGGAAUAGUUUAUCACUUAAGCAAAGCGGAACUAGAUAAGAUGGACGAGGAGCGAAGAUUGGAAGCCUUGGAAAUUGGAAGACCCUUCGAAAUUGUCACCGAAAGCCGUCAACAAGAGACAAUAGCGCACGAACAAACUUCCGAGACAAAAAUUUGAACCCUUGCACUUUCUUAGCAAAGUCAUGAUGCUAUUUCAUCGUACGAUUGAUUUUCACUGCCGAAAUCGAAAUAUUAAAGAUACAAAUUUUAUCUAAUGAUAUAUAUUAAUAUAUGACUUUUUGUUUUUGUAGCGAGCGUUAGCAGCGAUAGAAGACGAAUGAAUUAAAAGUAUUAAAUGUUAAAGUAGAAAAUGUGAGCAUGUUAAGUACAAAAAAUGUAUUUUUUUCUAGUGUGAGAAUUCUUCUUCUACUUUGGAAUAUUAAAGAAUAUUAAUAUAUCAGAAUAAUAAUGUACAGUAAAAUAGAAAUAUAAGAUAUAGUAAAUUAUUAGUAAUUGUAUCAGAUGCAAGCAAAUAAUCCUCAAAGUGCUUAGAAUAUUCAUCGAUCAAUAAUCAAUUUAAAGAAAAAUUUAUUGUGAAUAAUUUAAGCAUUUGAUUUCAAUGAUAAUGAUUAGCUAUAAUAAUGAUUUACAUUAAAAGCGAAAAAUUAUGUGAAUUUUUUUCUUGCAUUACACAUAUAUAAAAAUGAUUUUUAAUGAAUGAUUUAUGAAAUUACACAACUAUAUAAUAUUGCUAUAUCGUUUUUUGUAUAAUUGCGUUGUCAUAAUCAUUGCGAACUACUCAUUUCCUUCUCCAAAAGAUAUGUGUAAAUAAUUUCGCAUAAAAAUUUGAUUAAUUUACUUUAAAAUAUAAUGCACGCUGCAAGGAAAAAAUUUACAUAAUUUUUCAUUUCUAAUAUCAUAAUUCAAUAUGAACUCGAGAGCUUUAAAGGUAAUCGUGAUUAUUUAUAUCAAUAUAUUCAUAAGUAUUGCAUGUAUGUGUCUAUGUAUAAAUAAAGAUACGUAAGUUUAUAGGUAAUCUUAAUUAAUUAAGACAAUGAUUAAUAA